CCUACGGGAGGCAGCAGUGAGGAAUAUUGGUCAAUGGACUUACGCCUGAACCAGCCAAGUCGCGUGAGGGAAGACUGCCCUAUGGGUUGUAAACCUCUUUUGUCAGGGAGCAACGCCGGCUACGUGUAGCCGGCCUGAUAGUACCUGAAGAAAAAGCAUCGGCUACCUCCGUGCCAGCAGCCGCGGUAAUCCGGAGGAUGCGAGCGUUAUCCGGCUUUAUUGGGUUUAAGGGGUGCGUAGGCGGAAUGCCAAGUCAGCGGUAAAAUCGCGGGGCUCAACCUCGCUCCGCCGUUGAAACUGGCGGUCUUGAGUGGGCGAGAAGUAUGCGGAAUGCGUGGUGUAGCGGUGAAAUGCAUAGAUAUCACGCAGAACUCCGAUGGCGAAGGCAGCAUACCGGAGCCCAACUGACGCUGAGGCACGAAAGCGUGGGUAGCGAACAGGAUUAGAUACCCCAGUAGUC
rnacentral:rRNA from 1 species